UGUGAUCUUAUUAUUAUUAUGGAUUGAAAGGAUAGAAUUGCAUCACUCAGUAUUUGUUCAUUUAGAUGUGUGACAACAAACACUGAGUGAGUUGUGAUCUUAUUAUUAUUUUGCUUAUUGAAAUUUCUGUUUUUGUCAAACGAAUUUUUUCUGGAGAAAGGACAGAGAACUUCUGGAAGCUCCUUUAUUUUUUUGGAAAUAAGUGGUCACUCUGGAGUAACUUAAAUGCGAGAAGAUCAAAUAGAAUGUAAAUUAUUAAAUUGUACCCUCCAAAUGUUUUAACCGUUCAUAUGGAAAUUGGUAGAACCGUUGGAAAUUGUUAAAAAUAUGUCGCCAUUGUUACGUCAGCGUGCAGCAAGAUUAAUUAUACUUGAAAAGAAUGGCGUCAAAUACUAUGACAUAUUGAAAACUGUUUUCAAUAAACGAAGAAAGUGUCCAAAUUGUUACAUAUUUUUUCCAUAAAAGCCUUCUUGCUUGUCAACUACAGUGUCCGACCAACAAUACGUACAAAAACUCAUUUGCAAUCCUGUUUUUAUGCAGCUACUUGUAUUAUAGGACGACGGAUUUAUGUAAAUUGACAGGUAGACCUAAUUGCAACGCUUGACAUGGUCUACAGACGGUAUCCUACAUUGGAGCAAAUUUGUGGGAUGUGCUUCCGGUAUAAAGGAAGCUGAAAGUCUGAACUCAUUUUCUUCACAGCCUGAAGUCUUAUUAUUUUUAUUAGAUCUAUUUAUUUUUAUAUCGUCAAUUUAGCCAAGUGUAGUCGUACUCUUCUAUCAAAUCCUAUACAUGACAUCAUACAAGAGGUGACAUUUCCAUUUGUAUCCUUUUAAUUGACGUUAAAUAAAUUUAUGUCUGUUUACUCUGUUAUACCUGGGAUUCUGUGACACAACUCGGUUGGCACAAUUUGCAAGCGUAAAUCCAGAUGCGACAACGUCAAAUGUGUUGAGUCCUCAAUGUAUUCGUUUAGGAAGUUAUAGAGAAAAAAAUUGACGAG